AGAGGGGACCAGGCGGCCGCGCGGGCCCCGUAAGGGGCAGCGAGGAAAGUCCGAACACCGCAGGGCAGGAUGCCGGGUAACGCCCGGGCGCCGCGAGGCGAUGGAAAGUGCAGCAGAAAAUAUACCGCCCCGUUUUCGGGGUAAGGGUGAAAUGGCGAGGUAAGAGCUCACCGCUCCGUCAGCAAUGACGGGGGCAUUGUAAACCCCAUCCGGUGCAAGACCAAGCAGCAACCGCCCGAGAACGGCCCGUUCAAGGUUGCGGGUAGGUCGCAAAGAGGCCCAUGGCGACAUGGGCCCAAGAUGGAUGGCCGCAUAAACAGGAUUCGGCUUAUGGUCCCCUCUUUUA
rnacentral:RNase_P_RNA from 1 species